UGUAAAUGGUCCAGAUGGUGUGUUCAGGUGUAAACGUUGCAUUCAGGUGUAAACGGUGUGUUCAGGUGUAAACGGUGUGUUCAGGUGUAAACGGUGCGUUCAGGUGUAAACGGUGUGUUCAGGUGUAAACGGUGCGUUCAGGUGUAAAUGGUCCAGAUGGUGUGUUCAGGUGUAAAUGCUGCAUUCAGGUGUAAUUGGUGCGUUCAGGUGUAAAUGGUGUGUUCGGGUG